GGCUACCAUGCAGUCGAGGGGCAGCAUUUCAGUUUGCUUGCAAACUGGAGAUGGCGACCGGCGCACGGGUGAGUAACACGUAUCCAACCUGCCGAUAACUCGGGGAUAGCCUUUCGAAAGAAAGAUUAAUACCCGAUGGNAUAAUCAGACCGCAUGGUCUUAUUAUUAAAGAAUUUCGGUUAUCGAUGGGGAUGCGUUCCAUUAGGCAGUUGGUGAGGUAACGGCUCACCAAACCUUCGAUGGAUAGGGGUUCUGAGAGGAAGGUCCCCCACAUUGGAACUGAGACACGGUCCAAACUCCUACGGGAGGCAGCAGUGAGGAAUAUUGGUCAAUGGGCGCAGGCCUGAACCAGCCAAGUAGCGUGAAGGAUGACUGCCCUAUGGGUUGUAAACUUCUUUUAUAUGGGAAUAAAGUUUUCCACGUGUGGAAUUUUGUAUGUACCAUAUGAAUAAGGAUCGGCUAACUCCGUGCCAGCAGCCGCGGUAAUACGGAGGAUCCGAGCGUUAUCCGGAUUUAUUGGGNUUUAAAGGGAGCGUAGGUGGACAGUUAAGUCAGUUGUGAAAGUUUGCGGCUCAACCGUAAAAUUGCAGUUGAUACUGGCUGUCUUGAGUACAGUAGAGGUGGGCGGAAUUCGUGGUGUAGCGGUGAAAUGCUUAGAUAUCACGAAGAACUCCGAUUGCGAAGGCAGCUCACUGGACUGCAACUGACACUGAUGCUCGAAAGUGUGGGUAUCAAACAGGAUUAGAUACCCUGGUAGUCCACACAGUAAACGAUGAAUACUCGCUGUUUGCGAUAUACAGUAAGCGGCCAAGCGAAAGCAUUAAGUAUUCCACCUGGGGAGUACGCCGGCAACGGUGAAACUCAAAGGAAUUGACGGGGGCCCGCACAAGCGGAGGAACAUGUGGUUUAAUUCGAUGAUACGCGAGGAACCUUACCCGGGCUUAAAUUGCAUUUGAAUANUNUGGAAACAGNUUAGCCGCAAGGCAAAUGUGAAGGUGCUGCAUGGUUGUCGUCAGCUCGUGCCGUGAGGUGUCGGCUUAAGUGCCAUAACGAGCGCAACCCUUAUCUUUAGUUACUAACAGGUCAUGCUGAGGACUCUAGAGAGACUGCCGUCGUAAGAUGUGAGGAAGGUGGGGAUGACGUCAAAUCAGCACGGCCCUUACGUCCGGGGCUACACACGUGUUACAAUGGGGGGUACAGAAGGCAGCUACCUGGUGACAGGAUGCUAAUCCCAAAAGCCUCUCUCAGUUCGGAUCGAAGUCUGCAACCCGACUUCGUGAAGCUGGAUUCGCUAGUAAUCGCGCAUCAGCCAUGGCGCGGUGAAUACGUUCCCGGGCCUUGUNNANAGCGCCCGUCAAGCCAUGAAAGCCGGGGGUACCUGAAGUACGUAACCGCAAGGAGCUCCUAGGNAA
rnacentral:rRNA from 1 species